AAACGAUGUCUACUAGUUGUCGGGUCUUAAUNGACNUGGUNACGCAGCUAACGCGUGAAGUAGACCGCCUGGGGAGUACGGUCGCAAGAUUAAAACUCAAAGGAAUUGACCGGGGACCCGCACAAGCGGUGGAUGAUGUGGAUUAAUUCGAUGCAACGCGAAAAACCUUACCUACCCUUGACAUGGCUGGAAUCCUUGAGAGAUCAGGGAGUGCUCGAAAGAGAACCAGUACACAGGUGCUGCAUGGCUGUCGUCAGCUCGUGUCGUGAGAUGUUGGGUUAAGUCCCGCAACGAGCGCAACCCUUGUCAUUAGUUGCUACGAAAGGGCACUCUAAUGAGACUGCCGGUGACAAACCGGAGGAAGGUGGGGAUGACGUCAAGUCCUCAUGGCCCUUAUGGGUAGGGCUUCACACGUCAUACAAUGGUACAUACAGAGCGCCGCCAACCCGCGAGGGGGAGCUAAUCGCAGAAAGUGUAUCGUAGUCCGGAUUGUAGUCUGCAACUCGACUGCAUGAAGUUGGAAUCGCUAGUAAUCGCGGAUCAGCAUGUCGCGGUGAAUACGUUCCCGGGUCUUGUACACACCGCCCGUCACACCAUGGGAGCGGGUUUUACCAGAAGUAGGUAGCUUAACCGCAAGGAGGGCGCUUACCACGGUAGGAUUCGUGACUGGGGUGAAGUCGUAACAAGGUACC
rnacentral:rRNA from 1 species